AGGAAGUGUGCCUGAAAGAUAAGGAUCUCCUUGAUAGGGAGAACUAUAGGAGUUCAAAUCCCCUCACUUCCU
rnacentral:tRNA from 1 species